AUUGAACGCUGGCGGCAGGCCUAACACAUGCAAGUCGAACGAGUGGCGGACGGGUGAGUAAUGUCUGGGAAACUGCCUGAUGGAGGGGGAUAACUACUGGAAACGGUAGCUAAUACCGCAUACCAUCGGAUGUGCCCAGAUGGGUUUAGCUAGUAGGUGGGGUAACGGCUCACCUAGGCGACGAUCCCUAGCUGGUCUGAGAGGAUGACCAGCCACACUGGGACUGAGACACGGUCCAGCCGCCUAGGGAAGGCAGCAGUGGGGAAUAUUGCGCAAUGGGCGCAAGCCUUAUGCAGCCAUGCCGCGUGUGUGAAGAGGGCCUUCGGGUUGUAAAGCACUUUCAGCGGGGAGGCGUUACCCGCAGAAGAAGCACCGGCUAACUCCGUGCCAGCAGCCGCGGUAAUUC
rnacentral:rRNA from 1 species